rnacentral:rRNA from 1 species
UACGUAGGGGGCAAGCGUUGUCCGGAUUUAUUGGGCGUAAAGAGCGUGUAGGCGGUCUGGUAGGUCCGUUGUGAAAACUCGAGGCUCAACCUCGAGACGCCGAUGGAAACCCUCAGACUAGAGUCCGGAAGAGGAGAGUGGAAUUCCUGGUGUAGCAGUGAAAUGCGCAGAUAUCGGGAAGAACACCUAUGGCGAAGGCAGCUCUCUGGGACGGUACUGACGCUGAGACGCGAAAGCGUGGGGAGCGAACAGG